AGGAUUCAAUUCUUAUAAUGGUAAAUGUUUAAACCAACCUGAGCCCAUCUACUAAACGGGCCCAGGUUUUUUGAUCCUCUGCCUUGUUUGACUGGCCAACCUGUCUGGCUCUACAAGUUCUAACUAGAGAAAUUUGGAAUGCCAUCUUCAACAUAUUGUAGUGGUUCAUGUUUUGAUGUCAGUCGUGGGAUUUGUUUUUAGAUCCUUUCUUCAAAAAAGAUUCUGGUCCGAGGAUCUUGUAAGGUUUGAUAUUUGUUGGGUCUUGGUCGAGUCUAAUUUACUUAAGUCCUGAGAUUUUUAAUCUUCUUGUCGAUGCAAGUCACUCAAAAACUAGGACUGAAUGGACACUUCAAAACGUUUUCAUAUCUUGCUUGUGGGAAACCGCUGCUCUAAGAUUGUCGUGCAAAAGCACCAAAAAACAAGAGGGUGGCAACUUGAAUCUAGCAUUACUUGCCUUUUCUCUUAACUAAUUACAAGAAUAUUUUCGAAGCUGCGCAACUAGUAUUAUGUA
rnacentral:lncRNA from 1 species